GACAGAGGGUGCAAGCGUUGUUCGGAAUUAUUGGGCGUAAAGGGCGCGUAGGCGGUUUGUUAAGUCGAAUGUGAAAGCCCAGGGCUCAACCCUGGAAGUGCAUCCGAAACUGGCUAACUAGAAUCUCGGAGAGGGUGGUGGAAUUCCCAGUGUAGAGGUGAAAUUCGUAGAUAUUGGGAGGAACACCGGUGGCGAAGGCGCCACUCUGGGCCGGUACUGACGCUGAGGAGCGAAAGCAUGGGGAGCGAACAGG
rnacentral:rRNA from 1 species